rnacentral:rRNA from 1 species
ACGCACGCUGGCGGCAGGCCUAACACAUGCCAGUCGAGCGCGCCCUUCGGGGUGAGCGGCGGACGGGUGAGUAACGCGUGGGAACGUGCCCUUUUCUACGGAAUAGCCUCGGGAAACUGAGAGUAAUACCGUAUACGCCCUUUGGGGGAAAGAUUUAUCGGAAAAGGAUCGGCCCGCGUUGGAUUAGGUAGUUGGUGGGGUAAUGGCCUACUAAGCCGACGAUCCAUAGCUGGUUUGAGAGGAUGAUCAGCCACACUGGGACUGAGACACGGCCCAGACUCCUACGGGAGGCAGCAGUGGGGAAUCUUAGACAAUGGGGGCAACCCUGAUCUAGCCAUGCCGCGUGAGUGAUGAAGGCCUUAGGGUUGUAAAGCUCUUUCAGCUGGGAAGAUAAUGACGGUACCAGCAGAAGAAGCCCCGGCUAACUCCGUG